GAUGAACGCUGGCGGCGUGCCUAAUACAUGCAAGUCGAGCGAACGGACGAGAAGCUUGCUUUUCUGAUGUUGGCGGCGGACGGGUGAGUAACACGUGGAUAACCUACCUAUAAGACUGGGAUAACUUCGGGAAACCGGAGCUAAUACCGGAUGAUAUUUUGAACCGCAUGGUUCAAAAGUGAAAGACGGUCUUGCUGUCACUUAUAGAUGGAUCCGCGCUGCAUUAGCUAGUUGGUAAGGUAACGGCUUACCAAGGCAACGAUGCAUAGCCGACCUGAGAGGGUGAUCGGCCACACUGGAACUGAGACACGGUCCAGACUCCUACGGGAGGCAGCAGUAGGGAAUCUUCCGCAAUGGGCGAAAGCCUGACGGAGCAACGCCGCGUGAGUGAUGAAGGUCUUCGGAUCGUAAAACUCUGUUAUUAGGGAAGAACAUAUGUGUAAGUAACUGUGCACAUCUUGACGGUACCUAAUCAGAAAGCCACGGCUAACUACGUG
rnacentral:rRNA from 1 species